CCGACCUUAGCUCAGUUGGUAGAGCGGAGGACUGUAGUAGGAUGAGAAAUCCUGGUUGUCAUCCUUAGGUCGCUGGUUCGAAUCCGGCAGGUCGGA
rfam:Picea glauca, whole genome shotgun sequence.